CGGAUUAAGGAAACCGGCGCACGGGUGCGUAACGCGUAUGCAACUUGCCCUUAUCAGGAGGAUAGCCCGGGGAAACUCGGAUUAAUACUCCAUAAGAUUUUGAUUGGCAUCAAUUAGGAUUGAAAGAUUUAUUGGAUAAGGAUAGGCAUGCGUCAGAUUAGUUAGUUGGUAGUGUAACGGACUACCAAGGCGAUGAUCUGUAGGGGGCCUGAGAGGGUGAACCCCCACACUGGUACUGAGACACGGACCAGACUCCUACGGGAGGCAGCAGUGAGGAAUAUUGGACAAUGGAGGGAACUCUGAUCCAGCCAUCCCGCGUGCAGGAAGACGGCCCUAUGGGUUGUAAACUGCUUUUGUAUGGGGAUAAAUCUACUUACGUGUAGGUAGUUGAAGGUACCAUACGAAUAAGCAUCGGCUAACUCCGUGCCAGCAGCCGCGGUAAUACGGAGGAUGCAAGCGUUAUCCGGAUUCAUUGGGUUUAAAGGGUCCGUAGGCGGGCUAAUAAGUCAGUGGUGAAAUUUUGUCGCUUAACGAUAAAACUGCCAUUGAUACUGUUAGUCUUGAGUGGUAUUGAAGUAGCUGGAAUGUGUAGUGUAGCGGUGAAAUGCAUAGAUAUUACACAGAACACCGAUUGCGAAGGCAGGUUACUAAGUAUUAACUGACGCUGAAGGACGAAAGCGUGGGGAGCGAACAGGAUUAGAUACCCUGGUAGUCCACGCA
rnacentral:rRNA from 1 species